rnacentral:rRNA from 1 species
UACGUAGGGUGCAAGCGUUGUCCGGAAUUAUUGGGCGUAAAGAGCUUGUAGGCGGUCUGUCGCGUCUGCCGUGAAAUUUCGGGGCUCAACCCCGAACUUGCGGUGGGUACGGGCAGACUAGAGUGUGGUAGGGGAGACUGGAAUUCCUGGUGUAGCGGUGAAAUGCGCAGAUAUCAGGAGGAACACCGAUGGCGAAGGCAGGUCUCUGGGCCACUACUGACGCUGAGAAGCGAAAGCAUGGGGAGCGAACAGG